rnacentral:rRNA from 1 species
UACGAAGGGGGCUAGCGUUGCUCGGAAUUACUGGGCGUAAAGCGCACGUAGGCGGUCUUUUAAGUCGGGGGUGAAAUCCUGGAGCUCAACUCCAGAACUGCCUUCGAUACUGAAAGACUUGAGUUCGGGAGAGGUGAGUGGAACUGCGAGUGUAGAGGUGAAAUUCGUAGAUAUUCGCAAGAACACCAGUGGCGAAGGCGGCUCACUGGCCCGAUACUGACGCUGAGGUGCGAAAGCGUGGGGAUCAAACAGG